rnacentral:rRNA from 1 species
UAGUCCACGCCGUAAACGAUGUCUACUAGCCGUUGGGAGACUUGAUUUUCCAGUGGCGCAGCUAACGCACUAAGUAGACCGCCUGGGGAGUACGGCCGCAAGGUUAAAACUCAAAUGAAUUGACGGGGGCCCGCACAAGCGGUGGAGCAUGUGGUUUAAUUCGAUGCAACGCGAAGAACCUUACCAGGUCUUGACAUCCUGCGAAUUUUCUAGAGAUAGAUGAGUGCCUUCGGGAACGCAGUGACAGAUGCUGCAUGGCUGUCGUCAGCUCGUGUCGUGAGAUGUUGGGUUAAGUCCCGUAACGAGCGCAACCCUUGUCCUUAGUUGCUAGCAGGUGAUGCUGAGAACUCUAAGGNGACUGCCGGUGACAAACCGGAGGAAGGUGGGGGACGACGUCAAGUCAUCAUGGCCCUUAGACCUGGGGCCACACACGUGCUACAAUGGAACGCACAGAGGGGCU